rnacentral:rRNA from 1 species
CUGGGAGGGAAGCGGAUGGAUGCCUUGGUUGCCCGUAGGAUGUGCGUGGAACGGCCCCUCGGGGCUGGUCCGCCGAUUCAUCUUGUGGGCUCACCAGCGUGGGGGGAGGCGGCUGGACAAUGACCGGGGCUUGUUCCCGGUUGAUGCUGCUGUCUCCCUCCGGGCUACGGGCGGCGCGCCUCUUUGAGGCGGACUUCAACGUCCGGCGCUGCCCGGAUGCUGGUGGCACGGUUUUUCCAUUCGACCCGUCUUGAAACACGGACCAAGGAGUCUAACAUGUAUGCGAGCCUGCGGGUGUAAAACCUUGCUAGGCGUAAGGAAACUGAUCAGUGGGAUCCCCUCGGGGUGCACCAUUGACCGACCUUGAUCUUAUGUGAAAGGUUCGAGUGAUAGUAUACCUGUUAGGACCCGAAAGAUGGUGAACUAUGCCUGAGCAGGGCGAAGCCAGAGGAAACUCUGGUGGAGGCUCGUAGCGAUACUGACGUGCAAAUCGUUCGUAUGACUUGGGUAUAGGGGCGAAAGACUAAUCGAACCAUCUAGUAGCUGGUUCCCCCCGAAGUUUCCCUCAGGAUAGCUGGAGCUCUCUUUGAGUUUUGUCGGGUAAAGCGAAUGAUUAGAGGCAUCGGGGGUGAAACACCCUCGACCUAUUCUCAAACUUUAAAUAGGCAAAGUGUCGGG